GACGAACGCUGGCGGCGUGCUUAACACAUGCAAGUCGAACGGAAAGGCCCUGCUUUUGUGGGGUGCUCGAGUGGCGAAAGGGUGAGUAACACGUGAGUAACCUGCCCUUGACUUUGGGAUAACUUCAGGAAACUGGGGCUAAUACCGGAUAGGAGCUCCUGCUGCAUGGUGGGGGGUGGAAAGUUUCGGCGGUUGGGGAUGGACUCGCGGCUUAUCAGCUUGUUGGUGGGGUAGUGGCUUACCAAGGCUUUGACGGGUAGCCGGCCUGAGAGGGUGACCGGCCACAUUGGGACUGAGAUACGGCCCAGACUCCUACGGGAGGCAGCAGUGGGGAAUAUUGCACAAUGGGCGGAAGCCUGAUGCAGCAACGCCGCGUGCGGGAUGACGGCCUUCGGGUUGUAAACCGCUUUCGCCUGUGACGAAGCGUGAGUGACGGUAAUGGGUAAAGAAGCACCGGCUAACUACGUG
rnacentral:rRNA from 1 species